AUUGAACGCUGGCGGCAGGCCUAACACAUGCAAGUCGAACGGUAACAGGAAGCAGCUUGCUGCUUCGCUGACGAGUGGCGGACGGGUGAGUAAUGUCUGGGAAACUGCCUGAUGGAGGGGGAUAACUACUGGAAACGGUAGCUAAUACCGCAUAACGUCGCAAGACCAAAGAGGGGGACCUUCGGGCCUCUUGCCAUCGGAUGUGCCCAGAUGGGAUUAGCUAGUAGGUGGGGUAACGGCUCACCUAGGCGACGAUCCCUAGCUGGUCUGAGAGGAUGACCAGCCACACUGGAACUGAGACACGGUCCAGACUCCUACGGGAGGCAGCAGUGGGGAAUAUUGCACAAUGGGCGCAAGCCUGAUGCAGCCAUGCCGCGUGUAUGAAGAAGGCCUUCGGGUUGUAAAGUACUUUCAGCGGGGAGGAAGGCGAUAAGGUUAAUAACCUUGUCGAUUGACGUUACCCGCAGAAGAAGCACCGGCUAACUCCGUGCCAGCAGCCGCGGUAAUACGGAGGGUGCAAGCGUUAAUCGGAAUUACUGGGCGUAAAGCGCACGCAGGCGGUCUGUCAAGUCGGAUGUGAAAUCCCCGGGCUCAACCUGGGAACUGCAUUCGAAACUGGCAGGCUAGAGUCUUGUAGAGGGGGGUAGAAUUCCAGGUGUAGCGGUGAAAUGCGUAGAGAUCUGGAGGAAUACCGGUGGCGAAGGCGGCCCCCUGGACAAAGACUGACGCUCA
rnacentral:rRNA from 1 species